GUCAGUGUGCAUGUGAGUGUCUGUCAAUGAAUGAGUGUGUCAGAUAAGUGAGUCUGGCUGUCAGAGAUGUCUGUGUGUUUGUCAUUGAGCGUGUGUGACUGUCAGUGUUUAUACACCCCUGACUGUAGCGUGGCCAAGCGGAGUGUACCGUGGUACAGAAACUUCUGUUUCCUGUACCUGGCAGGACUGACAGGAAAAGCUCACUGUACCAGGAUUCGCUCCGCUCAGCCACGCUACAAGAAAGGUAGGAGGCACACCAGGAAGGGGAGGGGACCACUAUGGGGGUGGGUGGCGCACCAAGGGACAUGGAGAAGAGGGGAGAGAUACCCUAAGGUACAGGAAAAGGAGGGAGGGGGGAGAGGAACACUAAGCGACUGG